rnacentral:rRNA from 1 species
GACGAACGCUGGCGGCGUGCUUAACACAUGCAAGUCGAACGAAGUGGCGAACGGGUGAGUAACGCGUAAUCAACCUGCCCUUCCGAGGGGGCCAACAGUUGGAAACGACUGCUAAUACCGCAUACUGAAGGAGGGGAUUGCGUCUGAUUAGCUGGUUGGAGGGGUAACGGCCCACCAAGGUGAGGAUCAGUAGCCGGUCUGAAGGGAUGAGCGGCUACAUUGGGACUGAGACACGGCCCAGACUCCUACGGGGGUCAGCAGUGGGGAAUCUUCCGCAAUGGACGAAAGUCUGACGGGGCAACGCCGCGUGAGUGAUUACGGCCUUCGGGUUGUAAAGGUCUGUUAAUCGGGACGCGGUACCGGAAUAUAAAGCCACGGCUAACUACUUGCCAGCAGCCGCGGUAAUUC